UACGAAGGGGGCUAGCGUUGCUCGGAAUCACUGGGCGUAAAGGGUGCGUAGGCGGGUCUUUUAAGUCAGGGGUGAAAUCCUGGAGCUCAACUCCAGAACUGCCUUUGAUACUGAAGAUCUUGAGUUCGGGAGAGGUGAGUGGAACUGCGAGUGUAGAGGUGAAAUUCAUAGAUAUUCGGCGGAACACCAGUGGCGAAGGCGACUCACUGGCCCGAUACUGACGCUGAGGCGCGAAAGCGUGGGGAGCAAACAGG
rnacentral:rRNA from 1 species